AGAGUUUGAUCCUGGCUCAGGACGAACGCUGGCGGCGCGCCUAACACAUGCAAGUCGAACGGAGCAUUGAGAGCUUGCUUUUAAUGCUUAGUGGCGAACGGGUGAGUAACGCGUGAGUAACCUGCCCUGGAGUGGGGGACAACAGUUGGAAACGACUGCUAAUACCGCAUAAGCCCACGAUCCGGCAUCGGAUUGAGGGAAAAGGAUUUAUUCGCUUCAGGAUGGACUCGCGUCCAAUUAGCUAGUUGGUGAGGUAACGGCCCACCAAGGCGACGAUUGGUAGCCGGACUGAGAGGUUGAACGGCCACAUUGGGACUGAGACACGGCCCAGACUCCUACGGGAGGCAGCAGUGGGGAAUAUUGCACAAUGGGGGAAACCCUGAUGCAGCGACGCCGCGUGGAGGAAGAAGGUUUUCGGAUUGUAAACUCCUGUCGUUAGGGACGAUAAUGACGGUACCUAACAAGAAAGCACCGGCUAACUACGUGCCAGCAGCCGCGGUAAAACGUAGGGUGCAAGCGUUGUCCGGAAUUACUGGGUGUAAAGGGAGCGCAGGCGGACCGGCAAGUUGGAAGUGAAAACUAUGGGCUCAACCCAUAAAUUGCUUUCAAAACUGCUGGCCUUGAGUAGUGCAGAGGUAGGUGGAAUUCCCGGUGUAGCGGUGGAAUGCGUAGAUAUCGGGAGGAACACCAGUGGCGAAGGCGACCUACUGGGCACCAACUGACGCUGAGGCUCGAAAGCAUGGGUAGCAAACAGGAUUAGAUACCCUGGUAGUCCAUGCCGUAAACGAUGAUUACUAGGUGUUGGAGGAUUGACCCCUUCAGUGCCGCAGUUAACACAAUAAGUAAUCCACCUGGGGAGUACGACCGCAAGGUUGAAACUCAAAGGAAUUGACGGGGGCCC
rnacentral:rRNA from 1 species